UACAGAGGUCUCAAGCGUUGUUCGGAUUCAUUGGGCGUAAAGGGCGCGUAGGCGGCCUUCUAAGUCGAACGUGAAAUCCCUGGGCUCAACCCAGGAACUGCGUCCGAUACUGGGAGGCUUGAAUCCGGGAGAGGGAUGUGGAAUUCCAGGUGUAGCGGUGAAAUGCGUAGAUAUCUGGAGGAACACCGGUGGCGAAGGCGGCAUCCUGGACCGGUAUUGACGCUGAUGCGCGAAAGCCAAGGGAGCAAACGGG
rnacentral:rRNA from 1 species